ensembl:lncRNA
GGAAACCCACAGAUAAAUGGCCAGAGGGGAUGUUUCAGCUAAUUACUGGAAUACAUAAAUAACCAAGAAGUCUUACAGCUUACUUUUACAGACUAUACCUGGUGUAAUGUUUGUCCAUGUGUACCUCCUUUUCUAUGCCUUCCAUAGUCAACACAACUUUUCCAUCUGCUUGGUCAAGUCUGAAUUUGAAUUAAAAGGAAAAUAAAAACCCUCACUGAAACCCUCCAUCCAGAAGGCCUCAUUCCCCAGCCAUUGGGAUAAUUUUUCAUUAUUUUUCCAAACCUUUUAGCCCUCAAAAAGAGAAUCAGAUCAACGUCAAUGUACAAUGACCUCAACCUCCACCCACAAAACCAGUAUUUAAUCUCCAUGACUAUGGGCAAGGAUAUUGAAGACAUCAAAAAAUGCUUUGUGAUUUGUACUGACACUACAAUCAGUUCUGGUGUUUUGCUCACUGGGAAAGGGCUGAGCCUGGAGAAAGUUCUCACUUCAAAACCUUCCUAUACACAUGAAGACCUCAGGCCUAAGAAGGUUCAAGAACAUUGGUGUUAUGCCCAUCUUUUCUGGUUCUUUAAAGACAGUUGACAAGCCCAACAUUAUGGUUCAUGGAACUUUUAAGAACAGUGAAAAUUCUUGGAUGUUCUGAAGCUGUCUUUGUAUUUGUCAGCUUGAUUUAGUCAAUAUUCUGGCUUUGUAUUCCAGAUACUUAUAUGUAAGUAACAUGGUUUUUCUUUUCUUACAAUUUCAGUGGGAUUUUGUUUUUUUUGCUUAUCAAUAUCGUGUCCAUUCUCUGCCCAGUUUCAUUCUUGAUAUCAUACAUUCUCUCGAUGCCAACAGCACCUGUACCUCUGGAUAGGACCUGCCUGAUACACUGGCUUCAUUUAUAGGUACUGGGCAGCGUGCAUUCAACUUACUAACUUUUAGUCUCUCACCAGGAACAGAGAAUGAAAUAACUAUGGCUGAGCUGUCAAAGCCCCUGGCAGAUAAUUUGCUUCAAAAAUUGUGAAAGCCAUGGCCAGCAAGGAGAAUUAUAUGAUGGUAUUCUUCCAGGAACAAUAAAUUCUGGCAGUCAGUUUAGCAGGAAGCAAAGUUCUUAUUCCCAUCUCAUGAUCUAAGUAUCAAGAAGAGUACCAAGAAAUUCUCUUCAUAAUAUGUAUAAUUUCCAAAAACUUAAAGCCUGAUUCUCCUACAAAUACAAAGUGAGCAUAUGUCCAAGAUCUACUUAAUUCAUUAAUGAGGGAACAAGCAACUUUGUAAGUCAGCUCCAAAGUGAAUUGGAGAGAGCACAGGAAUUUUUUAUGGCAGAAAGAUGCUUCAAUUAGAUUGCUAAUUUAGACACCAAACUAGUUAAUGUCCUACAGGACAUUUAAACUGUAAUUUUGCUGAUAUCACUUGAAUCUCUACCAAAUAAAAUUCAUUUGCAAGGCUAUGGGACAGGAAUCUUUUCAUUUCUAUAGGAAAAAUAGUUACUUGCAUCACUAUUAGUUUCCUACAAAUUAACACCUUUCCAUCAGAGCUGUGAAAUAUACUAAGGAAUAGUAAACGGGAAAUCAAAUGAAGGGACAGGCAUCUAGAGGCAUGAAGUGCCACUGCACGACCCUGAGAGAAUAAAAAGUGAUCCUUUUGAUCUAUUUCAAUGUUUUAGGUAUAUUACAGAUCUCUUUUUAAAUGAUACUGGUGUAUUUGUAACAGGUUUGAAUCUGUAGCAUAGCUCCUGAGGUAGAAAAAUGCCACUAUCCUUUAUUUUCUUAAUCAAAAUUAAUUCUAGAAUAGCCUCUGCCUGCCAAGUAGUUGGGAAAUUCAAUCUGUAUCAUUUUUUUAAAAUUUUUUUUGAGGAGGAUUAGCCCUGAGCUAACAUCUGCUGCCAAUCCUCCUCUUUUUGCUGAGGAAGACCGGCCCUGAGCUAACAUCCGUGCCCGUCUUCCUCUACUUUAUACGUAGGAUGCCUACCACAGCAUGGCUUGCCAAGUGCUGCGCAGGUCUAUACCUGGGAUCUGAACUGGCGAACCCUGGGCCGCUGAAUGAGAACAAGUGAACUUAACUUCUGCGCCACUGGGCUGGCCCCUCAAUCUGUAUCAUUUUUACCAUCAUUUAUCCUUGUCAUCAGUUUGUCAUAGUAACUCUCCUUUUGCUCCUUGUGCAUGGUCCUUGUGCAUGUGAUCUUCGGGAUGCUGAGGAAUGAUAGUUGACUCUCCUCUCAAUCACAACCACCUUCCUGUUACCUCCUAACUGGAUCUGGCUUUCCCUGAAGUCUGCCAUGGGGAGGAGAUGACGUGUUAGAGGAUGCGCGGUGCUUGGUCUGUCUCAGUGUCUGCAUCAGUACCUCUCUGCCUCUGAUGCCUUGAUUUGCCCUUUGCUCAGACUUAAUGCUCUCACAGGCCACAGAGUGACUGCAGGCGAGGGAAGCAGUAGGGACCCUGCAAAACUUCCUCCCUCAUACCAUGCUCCCCAUUGUACCCCAUCCUCUUGCUGCUAUGUGGGUGCUGUUGUGAUUGCAGUUUGUAUAUUAAAGUAUUGUCAUAUUAAAUAUAUUUUGUUGGUCUAACAAUAAAAAACACUUCAUCCAAAAAAACAAAAUGAGCCACAUGGUCCAGUCAAAGACCCUCUCUUCAAUCUCUCCAUACCACAGGCACAGUUUCUUUGCCAAGAUUGCUGGCGUCUAACAUCUAAAGUCUAGCAUCCCUAAGCUCAUAUUUAGUACUCACCAUAAGAAAGGUGCCAGAUUUGACUAGGGCUUCAAUUCCCAUGACUGGGGCAACUGGCAGUAGUGUUUGUUCUCGCAGCCUUUGGAGAACACCUUCCCCACUGGGCCAUUCGUGAUAAGGCCACCGUCACUGACUCACUUCCCUCCUGCUUAUCUGGGGCAGUUCCAGCUCCAUUUCCUGAUAGGACAAAACAAAAACAAAAACACCUUUUAAAUGAAGACUUUUGAGGAGGUUUUCUCUAUAACACACUCGUUAAUCACAGGGUAUAUGUGUGUUUGUGUGUGUAUUUAGGGGAUGUGGGAAGGGUUGGCAAUGGCAUCAAAGGCAGGUAUACUGUGAAGUGAAAGAAGUUUAAGCUUCAGCACUCCACUUUUACAAAGUCUCCUUCCAAAGCCCUGAAAAGACCUUAGCAAUUUGUUCACCUGGAAGUCACAUUCCAGUAAAAUUUACAAAAGAUCAAAGAAUUUACCACAAUUGGUUUAAUGACCAUCUCUUUCCUUUCUGAUAGCUAGGUAGAUUCCCCUCAAGCAUGAGGUGUGUAGAAUAGAGGGUGUUGGUAGAAAGCAUGAGAGUAAGGGAGGCUAUUUCGGAGAUCUGGUUAAAGGGAGUUAAGUUUGGCAGAGUCGAGUCUGUUUUGGUGGUUUGCAGCAUAUCUCUGUACAGCUACAUUAUUGCUAGCGUGGUUUCACAGGCUCGUCAGUAACAGGAGUGAGAAGCUGAAACUUUUCUCAAUUCUCAAUAGUAAAAGAAUCCAAUUUAGACCAAACUUCUAGAGAAGUGACUGAAUUACUUUUAUUUCCUCUGUACAUAACAAUAUCAUAAAAUCCUUUUUAUAUGAAAAAGAUGAUCAAAGAGUAAACAACAGAAAGAUAAAGGGGUGAAAAGUAAUAUAGAGAUGGUUUGGGUAAUAAAAAAUGCCUUUUUUCUGGGUUUUGUGAUGUUUUGCU